GCUCAAAUUUGAAAUCUGGCGUAAGCCCGAGUUGUAAUUUGAAGAGGAUGCAUCUGCAACGAGUGCUGGCUCAAGUUUCUUGGAACGGAGCGUCAUAGAGGGUGAGAACCCCGUAGUUAGCUAGAUACUCUGUUGCUUAUGUUGCUCCUUCGAAGAGUCGAGUUGUUUGGGAAUGCAGCUCUAAGUGGGAGGUAAAUUUCUUCUAAGGCUAAAUAUCGGCCGGAGACCGAUAGCGAACAAGUAGAGUGAUCGAAAGAUGAAAAGCACUUUGAAAAGAGGGUUAAAUAGUACGUGAAAUUGUUGAAAGGGAAGCGUUUGCAGUCAGACUUGCUUUCGAUGAACAAGGUUUCUUUGCGAAGCUUUUAUUCAGUUGUGAGCAGGCCAGCAUCAGUUUGAGCGGUAGGAAAAAGGUGUGGAAAAUGUAGCUUGCUUUGCAAGUGUUAUAGUUCCUGCGUCAUACUACCAGUUUGGACUGAGGAUAGCGUCUUUGACUAGGAUGCUGGCGUAAUGGCUGUAAACGACCCGUCUUGAAACACGGACCAAGGAGUCUAACAUCUGCGCGAGUGUUUGGGUGUCAAGCUCGCACGCGUAAUGAAAGUGAACGAA
rnacentral:rRNA from 1 species